AUUGAACGCUGGCGGCAUGCUUUACACAUGCAAGUCGAACGGCAGCGCGGGCUUCGGCCUGGCGGCGAGUGGCGAACGGGUGAGUAAUACAUCGGAACGUGCCCAGUAGUGGGGGAUAGCUCGGCGAAAGCCGGAUUAAUACCGCAUACGACCUGAGGGUGAAAGCGGGGGAUCUUCGGACCUCGCGCUAUUGGAGCGGCCGAUGGCAGAUUAGCUAGUUGGUGGGGUAAAGGCCUACCAAGGCGACGAUCUGUAGCUGGUCUGAGAGGACGACCAGCCACACUGGGACUGAGACACGGCCCAGACUCCUACGGGAGGCAGCAGUGGGGAAUUUUGGACAAUGGGCGAAAGCCUGAUCCAGUAAUGCCGCGUGUGUGAUGAAGGCCUUCGGGUUGUAAAGCACUUUUGGCGGGAACGAAAAGGACUGUGCCAAUACCACGGUUCGAUGACGGUACCCGCAGAAUAAGCACCGGCUAACUACGUG
rnacentral:rRNA from 1 species